AGCCUCCUGGAGUCUCUUCCUCCCCGAGGCAGAGAAGAAAAGGAACUGCCACUGUGGGCAUCACUGUUUUGGCUUUGCUGUUGUCAUGAGGUCCUGGAAAAAGGUCUUUAUUUUGAAGACAAUCUGUUCAACUAAAAUAAGGUUCUCGCCAAACAAUUUCAUCGGAGAGUGGUGAUCGUCUCCAGAGCCGUUCCAAUAAAGCAGGGAGAGCACAGGGAUAGAGUGGCGUCCUGACAGCGGAGCUCCUCUGUGACAUCUCUAACUGUGAUGUCGAUGCGGUGGAAGACGGCACCUGUAAGAGUUGAGCAGCUUUCCUCUGUCGUGACCUUCCACCA